CAAAUUUAAAAUCUACCUGGUUUYCAGGUCGAGUUGUAAUUUGAAGAUACGUUUUUGACGUUCCGGGUUGAACUAAAUCCUUUGGGAUAAGGUAUCAUGGAGGGUGAGAAUCCCGUAUAUACCAACCRYAGGGAUGUUAUUUAAUACGUUUCUAAGAGUCGAGUUGUUUGGGAAUGCAGCUCUAAAUGGGUGGUAAAUUUCACCUAAUGCUAAAUAUAAGCSAGAGACCGAUAGYGAACAAGUACAGUGAUGGAAAGAUGAAAAGAACUUUGAAAAGAGAGUUAAAUAGUAYGUGAAAUUGUUGAAAGGGAAACGAUUGAAGUCAGUCAUGCCRGUGGGAAUCAACUUAGAGGAAACUCUGAGUGCACUUYUUCSCUUGGCAGGUCAACGUYGAUUUUGGAUGUCAUAAAAUGAUUGGGGGAAGGUAGCUCYUUCGGGAGUGUUAUAGCCCUUGGUAGAUGUGAUGUCUGGGAUCGAGGAUUGCAAUGGAUACCCUUUGGGGCUAGCCGCCUGAUCUCUAAUYGGUAUUGGGUUACGGAUAGCAUGCUGACCGUGAUCUAAUUAUUGGUUAAAAGGUUA
rnacentral:rRNA from 1 species